rnacentral:tRNA from 2 species
CCGUCGCUUUAGUCCNCUCAGCCAUCUCUCC